rnacentral:rRNA from 1 species
GAUCCGACGGCUCGGUGCUUGACGACGGAAAGGACAUUGUA